rnacentral:lncRNA from 1 species
GCUAAACAUACAGCAAGAAUCAUGAAAUCUCCUCUUGUGUGUAAGAUGGAGAAUUGUGAGUUAAUGGUUUAGAGUUUAAACUUGGCCCCCUCUCAUUGCGAUGAGCUCAGUCACAAUUCUGGUGCUUUGUUGCCACAUAGACAAGACAAGGUAAAACUGAAUUCUAUACGAACAUCACACCCACACCCAUACAUGCAGAACAGAUAGGACCACAAAUACUUAAACAGUACCAUGUCAAGCCUCCAUACCGAUGUCUCAUCCAGUUCCAUUCCUUCAUUCAAAUCUUGGGCAAUACAGGUCAGGCCUAAUGCAGAGUCAAAAGUGGAACAUUCAUCCUGAUGACACAAUUGGAAACAUUGGUUAGAUUAUCAACGCUUUGAGUGGAAUGUCAUUUUGAGAGAAAGAUGAAACAACAUCCAGAUAUGAUCAAACAGCUUUAAGGAAAAAGGACUGACUUUAUGGAACAAAAAUAAAACCUCUUGGAAAUACUGGCCUGAUAGGUUGCUCACAAGAUUCCCAGCAACCUUACCAGCUGUUUUUCUCAGAAAGUCAAGGUCCAGGUGGUCAAGGAAAAAAGAGACUCAAUCUCACAGAGCCAAACAGGGUGAAGAUGACACCAGAGACUCAAGAUAAAACUCAUGGCGAGGCACCAGACAGCAAGGCCAUAUGAACCCCUCCCUUACCUAAAACCCCUGGUAAAAGCCCCUACCUUUUUCACUCAAGGACGUGGAUUUGAGUUUUAACUCCCAUCUCCUCCUCUGGCUUCCUUUUGAUAAUAAACAUCUUUCCUUGUUUCGAGCCUG